GUAUGUUUUCAGAGACUGUAUGUUUUGAUAGAGUUUUAAAAAGAGGCUUAAAGAGGGUUAGGUGGUUACCCAAAGAAGGCGCGAGUUCAAGUAACUCUUAGCCUGAAACCGUAUUUGACGAUACAGGUAGAUUAUUAUAGUACGCUGCGGCAUACUUGGGUUGGGGGCUUCGCUUUCGAGUUAAUGGCAGUUUUCAUAUAGCCCAUGGAAUUUUUCAGAGUUGUAGGGUAUACCACCUAACACAGAAGUAAUAUAGAUUUCUCAGAGUCGUGAUGGUUUUUACAGUCUUAUAAAAUGCCCCUGUGAUUUCUUACUAUAUUAUACGUUUGUGAACUGUUUAACAUUGCUCUCAUAUAUGUUGAAUAUAAAUUGUUAUUUUGGAUUUGCUCUGCGUACCAGUAAAUAUGUAUUGACCCCCUCCUCCCUCUAGGUUCUGAGGUUCAUUCUAGGGGUCCAGAUAAGCAGUAGAUAAUUCAGACAACUGAUCAGAUUAUGUAGUGGGGGCCUAGUCUCAGUUUCAGACAGUUGUCAAAUUUUCAUGUAAUAGAGAUAUCACAGACUGAGUCAGACGUUAUUCAGAUGUAGUUGAUUUCAGUUUCCAUACUUAUGAUGAAUUCAGAACUGACCAUGUUUCCGCAGCAGAUUAUGUUUCCUAAUCUUCUUUUAUUAUAUGAAUGUUGUGCAUGAUACCAG